UCUUGCCGCUUACGUUAGGUACUCUCCACACUAGGGUCGAAUCUUGCCGAGGACUUCCAAUCUGACGAGGACUUCCAAUCUGACGAGGCGCCUUCCAAGAAGAAAACCAAUGAUUCCUCUCCGUUCUCUAUUUCUCAUGCAUCAUAGCUGGCCUCGACAUCGGACCUGUUCCAGGAAUCAUGCUACCACACCACCAACUUUCUCUCUCCAGCAGAGUUUGGCUUGGUCCUGGGCUCUUGGCGAUCAACAAGAACGCCGCCGCUGCAGUUUCAUAUAUCAUACACUCCAGGCGGCACAACGCGAUGGUGGUUUCAGAUAUCUUACAAUCCAGGCGGGGCAAUGUGCGAUGGCGGUUCAGAUGCCGCAGGAGACACAUCAAGCAUGGGUAGAAGCAAGGAGUGGCUGGGGGUAAUGCUAGCGAGUAGUGUCUACUCUUCCUAUUUGUUGGCCAUAGUAAUCCUCAAUUAGUUUUAACUUCCUCUUUUUUUGUUAGGUGAUUUCCUCUUUUUUUAAUUAUUUGGUAAUACAUGAGCCCGACCUGAACUAUUGCAUCCCAAAGUCUCGGUCACACAACCUUGAUUGUUAGUUCCUUGCCCCUGAUAUUCUUAAUGUCACUUAAGUUUAUACAGAGCCAUUACAGUUUUGAGAACUGCACUGAAACAUCAAUGAUAUAAUUUGACUUAUUUGUAUGAGGAUGACUUUUUCGUUGCUACUUUUGCAGGAGAGUUCUAUUACCAGACCAGGCUAAGUGUCGUUCAUAUGAUGUAUGA